ACAAACAAGGAAAUCAUAUAAAAUCUGUAACUAUUUCACAUAAGUUAAUUACACAUUAGACAUUACACAUCACAUAAAACAAAUAAAGCAAACCACACAUCAAAGUGUUUCUCAACAACCUCAAAAAGCAAAACUUUAAUGAUUCCUAGAGUAUAAUAUCCCCCUAGUGAUUAGCAGCAUAUUGAUUAAUAAGUGCAAGAGCAUUACUAGUAACUUUAGCAACAUCCACCAUUCUAGAUCUAAUGGAGGUUUUGAUUCUUCCAUCAAGUGCUUUUCCACCAAACCCAUCACUACAAGUGCUUCCAUCAGUCAAAGCUGAGCUAACCCAUGUCUCAACAUUACUUAUAUGCCAAUUGAAAUCUUGACCGUUGAUCUUGCAAAGUUUAAGCUCGUUCAAUGAACUGCCAAGCCUAUCAACACCAUCACUAAUUACUUCAACACAAUCAUGAAUUGCAGCAUAUACUCUUGGUUUAAGAUUCUUAAAAUAUUUGCACUUUCUUACAAAGGCUUUCGUGGUUUGAGUUCUGUUGAGACUAAGUGAUAAAGCUGUUUGGACUAAUUGGUGUGGAUCUUGUUGGAUUUUUGAUGCAUAGACAGAGAGAGAUUCAACACAAAGUGUUGGAUAUUGUGUUGUGCUACAUGAGGUUUUGAUGAAGUUUGUUGGUGUUGAUGUUGCUAUAGAGACAAGAGUUAUUAGAAGGAAAAGAAGGGAAACCAUGGUUGCCAUGUUUGGAGAGAGAGAGAGAGAGAGA
rnacentral:lncRNA from 1 species